rnacentral:rRNA from 1 species
CACGUAGGGGACGAGCGUUGUCCGGAUUCAUUGGGCGUAAAGAGCGUGUAGGCGGCCGUACAGGUCAGCUGUGAAAACUCGAGGCUCAACCUCGAGACGUCGGUUGAAACCGUACGGCUAGAGUCCGGAAGAGGAGAGUGGAAUUCCCGGUGUAGCGGUGAAAUGCGCAGAUAUCGGGAAGAACACCCGUGGCGAAGGCGGCUCUCUGGGACGGUACUGACGCUGAGGCACGAAAGCGUGGGUAGCAAACAGG